GAGCCGUGCGUCCCUAACCUCCUUUUCGUCACAGGAGAGCAAUUUGGUUUUGUCGGUCUUUUCGCCGUUCUUGCUCCAAUCGCGGAUAGCCUAUAGCAUAUAGCAGGUAUUGAAAGACAGUGCAGACAUUCUAUCACUACAAGCAGCAUUGCAUUUGAAAAUAAUCUAAAAAUGGGAAGUUGCUGGUCACACUGGCUGGAAGUCGAAAACGUUUUGGUAAAACUCCCUCAGCGGAGCAACAACAAUUAGAGGCAAUUAAUAAUGAAUUAUCAUGUAGAAAGGAGCUUGAGGUCAAAUUGCAAUCUGUCUGAUGGAGAAAGAAAUCAGUCUACUUUCGCAAAUAAUAGUUAUUUAAAUUCUUCAGCAAAUCACAGCAGAAUACCCACAAAUGAAACUCCCUAAAUUUGACAGCAACUAUGCCGAGAACAAAAGUGUUUAUUUAACAGCUUAGUUAACAGCGACAAAUUGCUAUCAAAUGUCAAAAAGUUUAAUCAAGGACGCCUUAGGAACAGUAAGGCUUACCAGAUCACAGAAGCACAUUACGUAAAGGCCCAUGCUGCCUUAAUAUACUUUAAAUGUCGAUUGUUUGAAAGUUCAACAAUGCAAACACCAUCCUCCGCGGCGAUACGAUCCCUUAUUGACACCGUAUCCGCUAUAAAUGAAUCUCUUCUCUUGCAACGAGAAAGUUCUCGCCAAUGCAAUGAUAAUUCACAUCGUCAUGUCUCAUGUAGAUCCCAAAACUGGGUCGCGUGAGGAAAAACAGCUUAGUUACGAUUCCAUUUCUUUAUGGAAAGAUUACUAAGAAUUGCUUAAUAAACGUUAGGUUGGGGAAUCCACGACAGGCAGAGGAGUUUGAGCCUUCUUAUAUUAAAACGGCAUUUGCAGUAUCCCGACCUGUCAAAGACCUCAAACCUAAAUGUCCCUUCUGCAAGUCAGAUGAGCAUUUUAUUCAAAGUUAUACUUCCUUCACAAAUGUCUUGAUGCAUAGGUCUUUGCAUCAAUUGUCUACACAGGGGACAUGGAGUAUCAACGUGCCAAUCAUCUCGUUGUCGAGUUUGUACAAAACCCCAUCAUACAGUUCUACAUUGCUAAAGCUCGACCUCACAAGCACUCCUCAGCAUUUAUCGCCGUCGCCUUCUGACUAUCAGGUUAAUUUGAUUACGGAGGAAUUGAUAAAUAGUUUGCAAUUAAAACGGCAAGCAUGAGGCGUAAUUCUCAUCCUGUUUAGGUAACUUCACAGUCCAGACGACAAUUGGGAGCGGCGUACCCAACAAAUGAUUCGUUGUAUACCCAGUGCAUGGAAAAUUUAGCUCUCGGUCACAUGAAGACUACAGAUAAUAGAAUACUCAACAAGCUCUGAAAGCUCUUCGACUGAAAGCUCGUAUUUGAGGCGCAGUGCAGAACCGCUUCCCAAUUUUCGUUAAAUAAAAUUUUCUGGAUAGGGUGAAAGCAGCCUUGCCUUGCUGUGAAAAUACAAGUUACAUAAAUUCGCAAUGUCGGUAGAAAUAACUCAAAUAUAUAAAGAGUGGUAUUAGAUGA